AGAGUUUGAUCCUGGCUCAGGAUGAACGCUAGCUACAGGCUUAACACAUGCAAGUCGAGGGGCAGCAUGGUCUUAGCUUGCUAAGGCCGAUGGCGACCGGCGCACGGGUGAGUAACACGUAUCCAACCUGCCGUCUACUCUUGGACAGCCUUCUGAAAGGAAGAUUAAUACAAGAUGGCAUCAUGAGUCCGCAUGUUCACAUGAUUAAAGGUAUUCCGGUAGACGAUGGGGAUGCGUUCCAUUAGAUAGUAGGCGGGGUAACGGCCCACCUAGUCUUCGAUGGAUAGGGGUUCUGAGAGGAAGGUCCCCCACAUUGGAACUGAGACACGGUCCAAACUCCUACGGGAGGCAGCAGUGAGGAAUAUUGGUCAAUGGGCGAGAGCCUGAACCAGCCAAGUAGCGUGAAGGAUGACUGCCCUAUGGGUUGUAAACUUCUUUUAUAAAGGAAUAAAGUCGGGUAUGGAUACCCGUUUGCAUGUACUUUAUGAAUAAGGAUCGGCUAACUCCGUGCCAGCAGCCGCGGUAAUACGGAGGAUCCGAGCGUUAUCCGGAUUUAUUGGGUUUAAAGGGAGCGUAGAUGGAUGUUUAAGUCAGUUGUGAAAGUUUGCGGCUCAACCGUAAAAUUGCAGUUGAUACUGGAUAUCUUGAGUGCAGUUGAGGCAGGCGGAAUUCGUGGUGUAGCGGUGAAAUGCUUAGAUAUCACGAAGAACUCCGAUUGCGAAGGCAGCCUGCUAAGCUGCAACUGACAUUGAGGCUCGAAAGUGUGGGUAUCAAACAGGAUUAGAUACCCUGGUAGUCCACACGGUAAACGAUG
rnacentral:rRNA from 1 species